UCACAACUCAUUUUGUCGAUUUAAAAGACAAAUUGAAACUUCGCAAAUAGAAAACUGUUCCGUUACAUUAAUAUCAAUAAAAGACAGGAAAACAGGGAUUCCCUAAAGAUAAAGAAAGGAGGUUGAAAUAGCAGAAAUCUCUCGGCGACGUGACUUGAAGAACUACCUGAAAUUGUGGGAGCCUUCCCAACAUGAUCGGUUAUGCAGUCAGCAUUUCAUCUCUGGCAAGCCAUCAAAAGACCCAUGCCAUCCGGAUUACUCACCAAGUGUUUUCAGUUUUACGUCUCCUCAACACCCCAACAGACUCCAGCACGUGUGGAGAGGUAUAAGCGUUUGAAUAAAAGCAGACUUGUGCUGACGCCGGUCGACAAGGAAAACACAG